rnacentral:rRNA from 1 species
AGUAAUACAAACUUGGUUCAGUGGCGCACGGGUGCGUAACACGUGAGCAAUCUGCCGGGAAGUGGGGGAUAGCUCGCCGAAAGGCGAAUUAAUACCGCAUGUGGCCAUUCUUCGAGUGGAGGAAAAGCCAAAGCAGCAAUGCGCUUCCUGAUGAGCUCGCGGCCUAUCAGCUCGAUGGCGGGGUAAUGGCCCACCAUAGCUUUGACGGGUAGCUGGUCUGAGAGGACGACCAGCCACACUGGAACUGAGACACGGUCCAGACACCUACGGGUGGCAGCAGUCGAGAAUUUUUCACAAUGGGGGCAACCCUGAUGGAGCGACGCCGCGUGGAGGAUGAAGGCCUUCGGGUUGUAAACUCCUGUCAUGCGGGAACAAGCAAGUGAUAGUACCGCAAGAGGAAGAGACGGCUAACUCUGUGCCAGCAGCCGCGGUAAUACAGAGGUCUCAAGCGUUGUUCGGAUUCAUUGGGCGUAAAGGGUGCGUAGGUGGUGAUGCAAGUCUGGUGUGAAAUCUCGGAGCUCAACUCCGAAAUUGCACCGGAUACUGCGUG